GCCUAGCCGUAACACACAAUUAAAUUACCAAUUGUUCGCCAAACAACUACGAGUCCUACUUAAAACUUAAAAGACUUGACGGUACUUCACCACAGCCUAGAGGAGCCUGUCUAAUAACCGACAAUCCACGAUUAACCCCACCCUUUCUCGCCUUACAGUCUAUAUACCGCCGUCGCCAGCUUACCUUGUAAAAGAAAAAAAGUGAGCAAAACAGUACUACGCUAAAACGACAGGUCGAGGUGUAACCCAUGAAAGGGACUACGAUGGGCUACAUUCUUCAACCAAGAAUACGAAUAACACUAUGAAAUUAAUGCUUGAAGACGGAUUUAGCAGUAAGAUAAGAAUSAAAUGCCUAACUGAACAUAACGCAAUGAAGUGCGUACACACCGCCCGUCACCCCUGUCACCAC
rnacentral:rRNA from 1 species